GGGGACGUAGCUCAGCUGGCUAGAGCACCUGCUUUGCAAGCAGUUGGCCGUUUCCUGGCGCAACGCUGUGACCUGCAUCUUUGGGACGUUCCCCCAUGGAGUCAGGUGAUUUUCCCCCACUUCGUCCCCC
rnacentral:tRNA from 1 species